AAAUUGAAGAGUUUGAUCAUGGCUCAGAUUGAACGCUGGCGGCAGGCCUAACACAUGCAAGUCGAACGGUAGCACAGAGAGCUUGCUCUCGGGUGACGAGUGGCGGACGGGUGAGUAAUGUCUGGGAAACUGCCUGAUGGAGGGGGAUAACUACUGGAAACGGUGGCUAAUACCGCAUAACGUCGCAAGACCAAAGAGGGGGACCUUCGGGCCUCUUGCCAUCAGAUGUGCCCAGAUGGGAUUAGCUUGUUGGUGAGGUAACGGCUCACCAAGGCGACGAUCCCUAGCUGGUCUGAGAGGAUGACCAGCCACACUGGAACUGAGACACGGUCCAGACUCCUACGGGAGGCAGCAGUGGGGAAUAUUGCACAAUGGGCGCAAGCCUGAUGCAGCCAUGCCGCGUGUAUGAAGAAGGCCUUCGGGUUGUAAAGUACUUUCAGCGGGGAGGAAGGUGUUGUGGUUAAUAACCGCAGCAAUUGACGUUACCCGCAGAAGAAGCACCGGCUAACUCCGUGCCAGCAGCCGCGGUAAUACGGAGGGUGCAAGCGUUAAUCGGAAUUACUGGGCGUAAAGCGCACGCAGGCGGUCUGUCAAGUCGGAUGUGAAAUCCCCGGGCUCAACCUGGGAACUGCAUUCGAAACUGGCAGGCUUGAGUCUUGUAGAGGGGGGUAGAAUUCCAGGUGUAGCGGUGAAAUGCGUAGAGAUCUGGAGGAAUACCGGUGGCGAAGGCGGCCCCCUGGACAAAGACUGACGCUCAGGUGCGAAAGCGUGGGGAGCAAACAGGAUUAGAUACCCUGGUAGUCCACGCCGUAAACGAUGUCUACUUGGAGGUUGUGCCCUUGAGGCGUGGCUUCCGGAGCUAACGCGUUAAGUAGACCGCCUGGGGAGUACGGCCGCAAGGUUAAAACUCAAAUGAAUUGACGGGGGCCCGCACAAGCGGUGGAGCAUGUGGUUUAAUUCGAUGCAACGCGAAGAACCUUACCUGGUCUUGACAUCCACGGAAGUUUUCAGAGAUGAGAAUGUGCCUUCGGGAACCGUGAGACAGGUGCUGCAUGGCUGUCGUCAGCUCGUGUUGUGAAAUGUUGGGUUAAGUCCCGCAACGAGCGCAACCCUUAUCCUUUGUUGCCAGCGGUUAGGCCGGGAACUCAAAGGAGACUGCCAGUGAUAAACUGGAGGAAGGUGGGGAUGACGUCAAGUCAUCAUGGCCCUUACGACCAGGGCUACACACGUGCUACAAUGGCGCAUACAAAGAGAAGCGACCUCGCGAGAGCAAGCGGACCUCAUAAAGUGCGUCGUAGUCCGGAUUGGAGUCUGCAACUCGACUCCAUGAAGUCGGAAUCGCUAGUAAUCGUGGAUCAGAAUGCCACGGUGAAUACGUUCCCGGGCCUUGUACACACCGCCCGUCACACCAUGGGAGUGGGUUGCAAAAGAAGUAGGUAGCUUAACCUUCGGGAGGGCGCUUACCACUUUGUGAUUCAUGACUGGGGUGAAGUCGUAACAAGGUAACCGUAGGGGAACCUGCGGUUGGAUCACCUCCUUACCUUAAAGAA
rnacentral:rRNA from 1 species